GAUGCGGCAGCUGUUGCUGUAUAUUACCCCGGCGAGACCGAGGCAGACCGGAGGCGAGGCGGCCGCGUUGGAGCCCUAGCAAGCGUCCCUCGAGGUGACAUGGCAGCGGGUCCCUGGGAGGUGCUGGAGACAGACUUGGGACGCCCUGAGGCCACCGAGGAGCUGCCCGGGCAGGCAGGGAGCGCUCAGAGGCAGCCGAGGAAGGACGUGAGAAAAGAUGCCGAUGUGCUGGGGAGCAGCGACAGAGCGAAUAGCAGGUCCCAUGGCCUAGAGAAGGAGAGGUCCCGACUUGGUGUCUCCGAGGAGGAUCAAGACGAGCGGGAGUUGAGCAUGCCAGAACCAGCGCCCCUCGGCGCAGACAAGAAAGCGGUGGAGAAGAAGCGUGCAGAGAAGGUGGGAGCAAAAGGCAGCACCUCCGUGCCCCCAGUCCCCAAGAGCCUCCCUGUGAAGAGGACAGUGGAGCCCCAAAGCCUUGACCCCAUGGAGGAGCCGCUCAUCUGGGAAGGGCUCACCCUCAACAAAUGCAUCCUCGUGGCCUCCUUCGUCGCCCUGCUCAGCGUCAGCUUCCAGGUGCUCCAAGCGCCUUGCUCUAGGGAAGGAAUUAGCAGUGACAGACAGGCCCCUCCACCUCCACCCCUUCACGAGGUCAUUGACACCAAGGAGGACAUCCCAGAAGUGGUGGCUGCCCCACCAGUCCAACCCGAGAGCAGCCUGUUCGAGGACAGUGAUGGUGACGAUGACAGGGAAGAUGACAGUGAAGCUGACAGCAACCUGGCCGAGCCGUGGAUCUUCAAGAAAUGGUUUGGCCGCUUGGAGCAAGAGGACGAAGAGGAAGAACCCGAAGCCGAACCUGAGGAGCCACCAGCCAAGGUCGAGGUGAGGAAGAGCCGAGAGAAGCCCAGAGGCCCGGAGAGGAAAGAAGAGAAGCCCAGGGAAAGUCGUGCAGCCCAGGUGGAGAAGAGCAGCCGGAAGGAGACGCGACCCAAGGACAGAGCCCCUGAGGACAAGGCUGGCAGAACCCCAAGGGCACCCAAGGAGCCGGAGCAGCAGCCCUACAAGAAGCGGGGCCGGGAGGGCAAGGAGGGCAGGCGAGAAGGGAGGGAGCGUGACGAGCACAAGAAAGACGAGUGGAAGAGCCGCCCCGCCAAGGCUGACCGCGAGGACAACCGGAAGCGGGACUGGAGGCAGCAGCGAGGAGAGCAGAAGGGCAAGAAGCCCUGGGAGCAUCACACGUCUGCCCCGGGGAAGGACAGCACUGCCAGGCCCAGGGAAGGCAAGAAGCGUGACUGA
rnacentral:lncRNA from 1 species